ensembl:lncRNA
GGAUCCCAUCCCUCACACCCCGUUUGGGGGAUCCCAUCCCUCACACCCCGUUUGGGGGAUCCCAUCCCUCACACCCCGUUUGGGGGAUCCCAUCCCUCACACCCCGUUUGGGGGAUCCCAUCCCUCACACCCCGUUUGGGGGAUCCCAUCCCUCACACCCCGUUUGGGGGGAUCCCAUCCCUCACACCCCGUUUGGAAGUGCCUGCGGCCCCGAGGCAGCCAGUGUCGCACGCACAGAGCACCGUCCUGUUGCCGUGUCACGCUGCACCGGGCUGAUCUCCUGCCGUGCUGGCACAGGUGACAGCAAGGUCCGUGCCCCCAGUGCCGGGCUCUGCCUGGAACACGCUGCCUCGCUGCGUUUGCUUUGCUUUUUAAGCCUUUUCCACUUGUUUAUACACGCUGAAACUGCUGCUCGCUCCUCCGCAGGAGUGAUUGUGCGCGUAAAAACUUGGGGGGUUUUUUAACCUUUUUCUUUCCCAGUACAGACACAAAGGCAGAGGCGAGGAAGGCUCACCUGAAUACGAGGAUUUCUUCAUGCCGUCGCUGCGGGCUGUGACAUGGGAGCAGGGGCGAGGCCGGCUGGGGUGCGCGGGGCCGGGGCGGCUGGGGUGCGCGGUGCCGGGGGUGCCACGAUCCUUUUGUGGGCAGGGCCGGGGAGGGGACGCGCCCGGAGCCACCGCAUCCGUGCGUGCUGCGGCCGAGGGGCAGCUCCAGGUGCGGCGCACACCUUUCCCUAAUGAACGCACCUUUCCCUAAUGAACGCACCUUUCCCUGCCGCACACACCUUUCCCUAAUGAACACACCUUUCCCUAAUGAACGCACCUUUCCCUAAUGAACGCACCUUUCCCUAAUGAACGCACCUUUCCCUGCCGCACACACCUUUCCCUAAUGAGCACACUUUUCCCAGCUGCACACACCUUUUCCUGUGGAACACACCUUUUCCUAUGGAACACACCUUUCCCCGCCUCACACACCUUUCCCAGCUGCACACACCUUUCCCUAUGGAAAACACCUUUCCCUGCCGCACACACUUUUCCCUGUGGCACACACCUUCCCUUUCCCAGCCGCACACACCGGUGCGGGCUGGGCUGUUCCAAGUCUCCCGGUCCGGGCAGGGGAAGAGCGGGGCUCAGGCUCCCCCCCGGGCCGCCCCUUACCCCCAGGGCACCCCGAUCAUCCCCGGGGAUGGCCCUGCCAGCUCCCCGCCCCGCAAACCCCAGCUCCUGCAGCCGCCGCAGCCAAGGGAAGCGAUGGAAUUUCACGCCUCCAGCCCGGCGCACCCCGCGGAUUUGAUUCAGCCCUUGGCUGCUGGAGCAGCUCGGGUCAGCGCUGCUCUCCCGGCUCCAGUUCAAAGUGCAUUAGUGACCCGUGAAAACGCCUCUUUCCCCUCCAAACCCACUCGUCCGGGGCUCAUUCAAGGCUGCGAACCCCGCAAAUCGCUUGUGCAGGCUCACACCUCAUUUACUCGCUGCUGCGGGGGGGGAACAGAGAGCCACGGACCCCAGAAACAGCCCCAGACAUCGCCCCAGCCUCAGAACUGCCCAGAGAAUCAGCUUGGCUCAGAAGGGCAGGUUAAUGUUUAAUACAAUGCAGAGCCCACAGGCUUCAAAUAGACAGGCCCAGUAAGGCAGCACCAGAGAUGAAGAAAAUGCAGCCCCACAAAAAAAGCAAAGCUGCCUCUCUCCUCACUGAGAGAGGGACAAGCACAGCACUAAGAACAACUCAGCAAACAGAGCUGGGGUUUGAGUGCAACUGGCAGGGAGUGCAAAAUGAUGCAGGGAAACUGCUGCCCAAGAACAACAGAGGCUGUGGUGUCAGCCCAGCCCCUCAGCCUGCCAAGACAAGCCAAGCAGCAUCAGAGGCUGCUGCCAGUGUUUUGGGGGGCUUUGAGGAGUCAGCUGGGGCUCAGGCUGGGGCAUGAAUGGUUUCCCAACAGGAAUGAUUCAGAGUCUGGAGUGGUUUCAGGAGGAGCUGGCUGGUGCCAGGAGCUUUGUGAGCGUAGCAGCAAGGAAUGCUUCCUCCCUCCUCAUCCCCCAGCCUCGGGCUGCUCCCGGGACCAGGCUGCACAGAACCACUCAGGAAAAGUGGACUGUGAUCCAGAAACCCCAGGGGGACCUUCCCACACUGUGCAGGGAAGCUGCACGGAGGAGCUGCAGAAACCAUC